AUUGAACGCCGGCGGCAGGCUUAACACAUGCAAGUCGAGCGGGGGAAGGUAGCUUGCUACCGGACCUAGCGGCGGACGGGUGAGUAAUGCUUAGGAAUCUGCCUAUUAGUGGGGGACAACAUCUCGAAAGGGAUGCUAAUACCGCAUACGUCCUACGGGAGAAAGCAGGGGAUCUUCGGACCUUGCGCUAAUAGAUGAGCCUAAGUCGGAUUAGCUAGUUGGUGGGGUAAAGGCCUACCAAGGCGACGAUCUGUAGCGGGUCUGAGAGGAUGGUCCGCCACACUGGGACUGAGACACGGCCCAGACUCCUACGGGAGGCAGCAGUGGGGAAUAUUGGACAAUGGGGGGAACCCUGAUCCAGCCAUGCCGCGUGUGUGAAGAAGGCCUUAUGGUUGUAAAGCACUUUAAGCGAGGAGGAGGCUACUUUAGUUAAUACCUAGAGAUAGUGGACGUUACUCGCAGAAUAAGCACCGGCUAACUCUGUGCCAGCAGCCGCCGUAA
rnacentral:rRNA from 1 species